rnacentral:ncRNA from 1 species
AGAAAAGCGAUGAAGAGAAAUAGUAGAUAUUAGUCCUAUGUACAGAGAGAAGCCGGUUGGUGGAAGGCUUUGAUAAGAUGGUAUCGAACCGGUCUUGGAGCUGCAGGUUGAAAUUGAGCCGAAAAUUUGUCAGGCAUAAGAAAGUAGACACUGUCGGAAGUCCCCCGUUAAAAGGAAAUGAUAUCGAGGAAACUCUGUAUCUAUGAGUGUGGGAGUAAUCCUGAAUUCAGGUGGUAACACGGAUGAAUAUUCGCCCUGAAC